AUCUUUUUAAUACAAUUAGUAUACGAGGCUUCCAACCUCACAACCUUGGUGAAAACCCAAGAAAAGAUA
rnacentral:tRNA from 1 species